UACGUAGGGUGCGAGCGUUGUCCGGAAUUAUUGGGCGUAAAGGGCUCGUAGGCGGUUUGUCGCGUCGGGAGUGAAAACCUCGGGCUUAACUCGGGGCUUGCUUUCGAUACGGGCAGACUAGAGGUAUGCAGGGGAGAACGGAAUUCCUGGUGUAGCGGUGAAAUGACGCAGAUAUCAGGAGGAACACCGAUGGCGAAGGCAGGUCUCUGGGCAUUAACUGACGCUGAGGAGCGAAAGCAUGGGGAGCGAACAGG
rnacentral:rRNA from 1 species